UGCUAGUUUUUUAAGUUUAUCUAGGGCACAAAUCUUCCUACAGACUCAUUCUCUCCUCUCUAUCAAAGUCGCUAUUUUUUUUUACCAACGAACGAAAUUCCAAUCUGCAGCACCAAAGCUUAAAAGCAAGGUAGUAAAUGCUUGAACAUUUUUACCAUCUAUCAAAGAGGCAAUAGUAGACAUAGUAACAAAAUUCCAAAAUAGAAACAGAAGAAAAAAAUGCGACGACAGCAACCAAACUUCACAACAAUUUUUGGAAGAAUUUUAUGAUUGUAACAACCGACCAACAAGGGUCAAGAGGUUGCCGGAAAAUUAAAAGUCACUGAACCUCCAUUCUUUUGGCCAGAUCAUCACAUUUCUGGCAUGAAAAUAAUAAAAUGACCAAACGAUAUCAAGGUGAAGUUGCUUUGACAACAAAUAGCGCUGAAACAGUGACCAAAUAGAGGCUCAACGUGUCGCUGGAGUUUGAGUUUUGACUGGUCAGAUCUAGUCGUUUCCAUCUAGAUUUAGCCAUUCAGCCAUCCAGAUCUAGUUGAAAGCCAUUAUUUUUACUAUUUUUGCACUUUGUUUGCACCAUUACUCUUAUCUUUGUUCAGGGAAUCUUGAUUAAUGGGCAGUAUCCAGGGCCACAGAUUGACUGUGUUACAAAUGACAAUUUGAUUAUCAGUGUCUACAACUACUUGAAUGAGCCUUUCCUCAUUUCUUGUAAAUCACUUAAAAUUCCUGGAGAUCAAAUAUAUGUGUACCUUUAUAUGCAAAACUUCAAGAAUUUCCUGAAGAUCACAAGCUAUCAGGCCUUAUUAGUUAUCACUCAUUGCUUCGCUGGUGUCACAUAGAUAAUGGAACACCUAAACCAUCAUAUAAAUGGUGUAGGGUUUUGCUCAAAGUUAGUGGCGAAGCUCGUGCAAGAGGUCAUGCACAAAACGUUGACCCCAAUGUAAGAAGAGGAAAGUUUCUAGGAGAUGAUAACAUUUUAGAAAAUUUAUCUGCACGCCCACCAUUUAUGGAAAUACUGUCAGCAGAAUUCUCUGAAAGAGUCGACGUUCCACCAUUUAUGGCAAGGAUUCAGGUUGUUAAAAAGGGUCGAGAUCCAACAUCAAGUGAGAUAUAUUUGCACGCCCAUACACAUGGUAAUUAUGGAAAAUCUUUUGUUGGUGAGAAAUUUUGAAUCAUACAUGAAAAAUAUCAGGAAAUAUUACAACAACAAACACAGAGUCAAUAUGAUAUUGAUAACUUUGAUGUGGCAACUACAGUUCCUACCUCUUCUACUGCUGCUAACUUUGAUGAGGUUCAUGCAUUGGGUUCUGAUGAUGACCAUGACUCUCCAGCCUUGCAUAGUUAGCCUAUUUUGUUUAGACUUUAUUGUUGGUACUUUUGGGUAUUUUGUACUUAACGACACAGUUAUAAGCAUUAUGCUAUAUAUUUUGGAUCUUGUUGAAUAUUAAUUUAUAUUAAUAUCAA